ACACUUUCAUCCUGCCCCAUUCUUUCCUCCUGGUAACCACCAAAAUGCUUUCUCUUCAAAAACAGCAGCACGAAAUAUCACAUUUUCAAGCCUUACAAAGAUGAGAUGUGGGAAUUGAUUUACUUCUGGUCAGCUUUAUUCCCAGCAUCUAACUCAUGAGUCUGCCUAAAAUUUAAGGGAGGUGAAUGGAGAUUUGGCAACAGAACAGGAAAAGGCAAUGUGACAAUGGAGGCAGAGACUGGGAUAAGGUGGCCGUGGGCUGCAGAAUGCUGGCAGCUACCAGAAGCUGGGAAGAGGCAAGAGUGAAUUCUGCCCUAGAGCCUCCAGAAGGAGCCAGCUCUGCCAACACCUUGUUUUAUCCCAUAAGAUUCAUUUUGAAUUUCUGGCCUCCGGAAGUACAAGAGAAUAACGUUUUGUUGUUUUAAGUCAUUAAA